CCUACGGGAGGCAGCAGUGGGGAAUAUUGGGCAAUGGAGGAAACUCUGACCCAGCGACGCCGCGUGCGGGAUGAAGGCCUUCGGGUUGUAAACCGCUUUCAGUAGGGAAGAAGCGAAAGUGACGGUACCUACAGAAGAAGCACCGGCUAACUAUGUGCCAGCAGCCGCGGUAAUACAUAGGGUGCAAGCGUUGUCCGGAAUUAUUGGGCGUAAAGAGCUCGUAGGUGGUUCGUCACGUCGGAUGUGAAAAUCUGGGGCUCAACCCCAGACCUGCAUUCGAUACGGGCGAUCUAGAGUGUGGUAGGGGAGACUGGAAUUCCUGGUGUAGCGGUGGAAUGCGCAGAUAUCAGGAGGAACACCAAUGGCGAAGGCAGGUCUCUGGGCCAUUACUGACACUGAGGAGCGAAAGCGUGGGGAGCGAACAGGAUUAGAUACCCUGGUAGUCCACGCCGUAAACGGUGGGCACUAGUUGUGGGAACCUUCCACGGUUUCUGCGACGCAGCUAACGCAUUAAGUGCCCCGCCUGGGGAGUACGAUCGCAAGAUUAAAACUCAAAGGAAUUGACGG
rnacentral:rRNA from 1 species